AAAAUCUCAUUAAAUGGUAAUGGUGUCUUGCUUGUUUCAAUUGAUGCCACAUUUCUUUAUUGAAGAGAAUUUGCCUUUCAUUGAUUCACAGGAUUAAUGCAUUUGCUUUAUGGUGUUGAACAGCAUGUGUACUUUGCUCCAAAAGGGGGUCAAGGGUUAUCCUGUGUUACAGUACUAGUAAUUGCUAACAUUACUGGUGAUAUUUUAAUAUACUUGUAGUAACCAUAGUUUCUUCUCAACAUUGUGGCUGAUAAAAAUUGAAGGAGUAUGUUUGUGAUAUAAAGAGCAUCGAUGCUAGAUUGAAUAAUAGUCAGUUGAAUUUAUAUAAUUUCAUAUUUCUUCCAGCUCACAGUUGAUGUUAGAAGCAAUUCAGUUGAAGCUUCGCAGAUUAAUUAGUGUGGCAAUAGAAUUUCCCAGUUGAAGUUACUCAGUUAGUCAGUUACUCAGUCAGUCAAUUGCACCUUGUCCGGAUAAUUAGUGUGGCAAUAGAAUUUCCCAGUUGAAGUUACUCAGUUAGUCAGCUACUCAGUCA